AUAAUAAAAGAGAGAUAGAAGGAGCCAAAAAAAGAAAAGCCAAAAAAAUGGCUCCAAAAAUCUCAUUGCUCUUUCUGGCCUUGGCUGCUAUCCUUUUCCUUGCCCAUAUUACUCAAGCUCGAGAACCCGUAAAUCAAUUUUGAAAACUGCAAGCCACAAAAUACUCUGCACAAAAAUGGUGAAUGGUGCAAAAACCAUGCAUGAUGCAUCCAAAAACGCUAUGGAGAACACACUUAUUGCUGCCAAAAAACUCCAAGCAAUGUCCAAUCUGAUCGAACCAGAACU
rnacentral:lncRNA from 1 species